GAACGAGAAAGUGGAGCAAUACAUGAGUAAAGUGGCGACCGGGUGAGUAACACGUGACUACCUGCCCUUGAGUGGGGGAUAACUUCGGGAAACCGAGGCUAAUACCGCAUAACAUCGCAAGAUCAAAGGAGCAAUCCGCUGAAGGAGGGGGUCGCGGCUGAUUAGUUAGUUGGUGAGGUAACGGCUCACCAAGACGAAGAUCAGUAGCCGGCCUGAGAGGGCGCACGGCCACACUGGAACUGAAACACGGUCCAGACUCCUACGGGAGGCAGCAGUGGGGAAUUUUGCGCAAUGGGGGAAACCCUGACGCAGCAACGCCGCGUGGAGGAUGAAGUCCCUUGGGAUGUAAACUCCUUUCGAUCGGGACGAUUAUGACGGUACCGGUAGAAGAAGCACCGGCUAACUCUGUGCCAGCAGCCGCGGUAAU
rnacentral:rRNA from 1 species